UACGAAGGGGGCUAGCGUUGCUCGGAUUGACUGGGCGUAAAGGGCGCGUAGGCGGUUCGUACAGUCAGACGUGAAAUUCCUGGGCUCAACCUGGGGGCUGCGUUUGAUACGUGCGGACUUGAGUGCGGAAGAAGGUCGUGGAAUUCCCAGUGUAGAGGUGAAAUUCGUAGAUAUUGGGAAGAACACCGGUGGCGAAGGCGGCGACCUGGUCCGAUACUGACGCUGAGGCGCGAAAGCGUGGGGAGCAAACAGG
rnacentral:rRNA from 1 species